rnacentral:rRNA from 1 species
GCCUUCUGACGUUAGCGGCGAACGGGUGAGUAACACGUAAGGAAUCUGCCUAUGAGCGGGGGAUAACAUUCGGAAACGGGUGCUAAUACCGCAUAAUAUCUUCUUCCGCAUGGAAGAAGAUUGAAAGACGGCUCUGCUGUCACUUAUGGAUGACCUUGCGGUGCAUUAGUUAGUUGGUGGGGUAACGGCCUACCAAGACGAUGAUGCAUAGCCGACCUGACAGGGUGAUCGGCCACAUUGGGACUGACACACGGCCCAAACUCCUACGGGAGGCAUCAGUAGGGAAUCUUCCGCAAUGGGCGAAAGCCUGACGGAGCAAUGCCGCGUGAGUGAAUAAGGCCUUCCGGUCGUAAAACUCUGUUAUAAGAGAAUAACAAAUUGUAGAGUAACUGCUACAGUCUUGACGGUAUCUUAUCAUAAAGCCACGGCUAACUACGUGCCAGCAGCCGCGGUAAUACGUAGGUGGCAAGCGUUGUCCGGAUUUAUUGGGCGUAAAGGGAGCGCAGGUGGUUUCUUAAGUCUGAUGUGAAAGCCCACGGCUUAACCGUGGAGGGUCAUUGGAAACUGGGAAACUUGAGUACAGAAAAUGAAUGUGGAACUCCAUGUGUAGCGGUGGAAUGCGUAAAUAUAUGGAAGAACACCAAUGGCGAAGGCGACAUUCUGGUCUGUUACUGACACUGAUGCUCGAAAGCGUGGAGAGCAAACACGAUUAGAUACCCUGGUAGUCCACGCCGUAAACGAUGAGUGCUACGUGUUGGAGGGUUUCCGCCCUUCAGUGCCGCAGUUAACGCAUUGAGCAC